AGAGUUCGAUCCUGGCUCAGGAUGAACGCUGGCGGCGCGCCUAACACAUGCAAGUCGAACGGCACCUAUCUUCGGAUAGAAGCGAGUGGCGAACGGCUGAGUAACACGUGGAGAACCUGCCCCCUCCCCCGGGAUAGCCGCCCGAAAGGACGGGUAAUACCGGAUACCCCCGGGCGCCGCAUGGCGCCCGGGCUAAAGCCCCGACGGGAGGGGAUGGCUCCGCGGCCCAUCAGGUAGACGGCGGGGUGACGGCCCACCGUGCCGACAACGGGUAGCCGGGUUGAGAGACCGACCGGCCAGAUUGGGACUGAGACACGGCCCAGACUCCUACGGGAGGCAGCAGUGGGGAAUAUUGCACAAUGGGGGAAACCCUGAUGCAGCGACGCCGCGUGAGCGAAGAAGUAUUUCGGUAUGUAAAGCUCUAUCAGCAGGGAAGAAAAUGACGGUACCUGACUAAGAAGCCCCGGCUAACUACGUGCCAGCAGCCGCGGUAAUACGUAGGGGGCGAGCGUUAUCCGGAUUCAUUGGGCGUAAAGCGCGCGUAGGCGGCCCGGCAGGCCGGGGGUCGAAGCGGGGGGCUCAACCCCCCGAAGCCCCCGGAACCUCCGCGGCUUGGGUCCGGUAGGGGAGGGUGGAACACCCGGUGUAGCGGUGGAAUGCGCAGAUAUCGGGUGGAACACCGGUGGCGAAGGCGGCCCUCUGGGCCGAGACCGACGCUGAGGCGCGAAAGCUGGGGGAGCGAACAGGAUUAGAUACCCUGGUAGUCCCAGCCGUAAACGAUGGACGCUAGGUGUGGGGGGACGAUCCCCCCGUGCCGCAGCCAACGCAUUAAGCGUCCCGCCUGGGGAGUACGGCCGCAAGGCUAAAACUCAAAGGAAUUGACGGGGGCCC
rnacentral:rRNA from 1 species